rnacentral:rRNA from 1 species
ACGGGAGGCAGCAGUGGGGAAUAUUGGGCAAUGGGCGAAAGCCUGACCCAGCAACGCCGCGUGAAGGAAGAAGGUCUUCGGAUUGUAAACUUCUUUUAUGAGGGACGAAGGACGUGACGGUACCUCAUGAAUAAGCCACGGCUAACUCCGUGCCAGCAGCCGCGGUAAUACGGAGGAUGCAAGCGUUAUCCGGAUUUAUUGGGUUUAAAGGGUGCGUAGGCGGAUGAUUAAGUCAGUGGUGAAAGGUCCCGGCUCAACCGGGGAGCUGCCAUUGAUACUGGUUGUCUUGAAUGCGGAUGCCGUGGGAGGAAUGUGUGGUGUAGCGGUGAAAUGCAUAGAUAUCACACAGAACACCGAUUGCGAAGGCAUCUCACGAAUCCGUUAUUGACGCUGAGGCACGAAAGCGUGGGGAUCAAACAGGAUUAGAUACCCUGGUA